GACGAACUCUGGCGGCGUGCUUAACACAUGCAAGUCGAACGGUAAGGCUCCAGCUUGCUGGGGUACACGAGUGGCGAACGGGUGAGUAACACGUGGGUGACCUGCCCUGCACUUCGGGAUAAGCCUGGGAAACUGGGUCUAAUACCGGAUAGGACCGCACCGUGAGGGUGUGGUGGAAAGUUUUUUCGGUGUGGGAUGGGCCCGCGGCCUAUCAGCUUGUUGGUGGGGUAAUGGCCUACCAAGGCGGCGACGGGUAGCCGGCCUGAGAGGGUGGACGGCCACAUUGGGACUGAGACACGGCCCAGACUCCUACGGGAGGCAGCAGUGGGGAAUAUUGCACAAUGGGCGGAAGCCUGAUGCAGCGACGCCGCGUGGGGGAUGACGGCCUUCGGGUUGUAAACUCCUUUCACCAUCGACGAAGGGUUUCUGACGGUAGAUGGAGAAGAAGCACCGGCUAACUACGUGCCAGCAGCCGCGGUAAUACGUAGGGUGCGAGCGUUGUCCGGAAUUACUGGGCGUAAAGAGCUCGUAGGUGGUUUGUCGCGUCGUCUGUGAAAUUCCGGGGCUUAACUCCGGGCGUGCAGGCGAUGCGGGCAUAACUCGAGUACUGUAGGGGAGACUGGAAUUCCUGGUGUAGCGGUGAAAUGCGCAGAUAUCAGGAGGAACACCGGUGGCGAAGGCGGGUCUCUGGGCAGUAACUGACGCUGAGGAGCGAAAGCAUGGGGAGCGAACAGGAUUAGAUACCCUGGUAGUCCAUGCCGUAAACGGUGGGCGCUAGGUGUGGGUUUCCUUCCACGGGAUCCGUGCCGUAGCUAACGCAUUAAGCGCCCCGCCUGGGGAGUACGGCCGCAAGGCUAAAACUCAAAGGAAUUGACGGGGGCCCGCACAAGCGGCGGAGCAUGUGGAUUAAUUCGAUGCAACGCGAAGAACCUUACCUGGGCUUGACAUAUACAGGAUCGCGCCAGAGAUGGUGUUUCCCUUGUGGCUUGUAUACAGGUGGUGCAUGGUUGUCGUCAGCUCGUGUCGUGAGAUGUUGGGUUAAGUCCCGCAACGAGCGCAACCCUUGUCUUAUGUUGCCAGCACGUUGUGGUGGGGACUCGUAAGAAACUGCCGGGGUUAACUCGGAGGAAGGUGGGGAUGACGUCAAAUCAUCAUGCCCCUUAUGUCCAGGGCUUCACACAUGCUACAAUGGUCGGUACAGUGGGUUGCCAGUCCGUGAGGGCGAGCUAAUCCCGCAAAGCCGGUCUCAGUUCGGAUCGGGGUCUGCAACUCGACCCCGUGAAGUCGGAGUCGCUAGUAAUCGCAGAUCAGCAACGCUGCGGUGAAUACGUUCCCGGGCCU
rnacentral:rRNA from 1 species